UGGGGAAUAUUGGACAAUGGGCGCAAGCCUGAUCCAGCCAUGCCGCGUGAGUGAUGAAGGCCCCAGGGUUGUAAAGCUCUUUCACCGGUGAAGAUAAUGACGGUAACCGGAGAAGAAGCCCCGGCUAACUUCGUGCCAGCAGCCGCGGUAAUACGAAGGGGGCUAGCGUUGUUCGGAUUUACUGGGCGUAAAGCGCACGUAGGCGGACUUUUAAGUCAGGGGUGAAAUCCCGGGGCUCAACCCCGGAACUGCCUUUGAUACUGGAAGUCUUGAGUAUGGUAGAGGUGAGUGGAAUUCCGGGUGUAGAGGUGAAAUUCGUAGAUAUUCGGAGGAACACCAGUGGCGAGGGCGGCUCACUGGACCAUUACUGGCGCUGAGGUGCGAAAGCGUGGGGAGCAAACAGG
rnacentral:rRNA from 1 species